AGUGAACGCUGGCGGUAGGCCUAACACAUGCAAGUCGAACGGCAGCACAGGAGAGCUGCUCUCUGGGUGGCGAGUGGCGGACGGGUGAGGAAUACAUCGGAAUCUACUCUGUCGUGGGGGAUAACGUAGGGAAACUUACGCUAAUACCGCAUACGACCUACGGGUGAAAGCAGGGGACCUUCGGGCCUUGCGCGAUUGAAUGAGCCGAUGUCGGAUUAGCUAGUUGGCGGGGUAAAGGCCCACCAAGGCGACGAUCCGUAGCUGGUCUGAGAGGAUGAUCAGCCACACUGGAACUGAGACACGGUCCUGACUCCUACGGGAGGCAGCAGUGGGGAAUAUUGGACAAUGGGCGCAAGCCUGAUCCAGCCAUACCGCGUGGGUGAAGAAGGCCUUCGGGUUGUAAAGCCCUUUUGUUGGGAAAGAAAUCCAGCUGGCUAAUACCCGGUUGGGAUGACGGUACCCAAAGAAUAAGCACCGGCUAACUUCGUGCCAGCCGCCGCAGUAA
rnacentral:rRNA from 1 species